AUUGAACGCUGGCGGCAGGCCUAACACAUGCAAGUCGAACGGUAACAGAAAGCAGCUUGCUGCUUUGCUGACGAGUGGCGGACGGGUGAGUAAUGUCUGGGAAACUGCCUGAUGGAGGGGGAUAACUACUGGAAACGGUAGCUAAUACCGCAUAACGUCGCAAGACCAAAGAGGGGGACCUUCGGGCCUCUUGCCAUCGGAUGUGCCCAGAUGGGAUUAGCUAGUAGGUGGGGUAAAGGCUCACCUAGGCGACGAUCCCUAGCUGGUCUGAGAGGAUGACCAGCCACACUGGAACUGAGACACGGUCCAGACUCCUACGGGAGGCAGCAGUGGGGAAUAUUGCACAAUGGGCGCAAGCCUGAUGCAGCCAUGCCGCGGGUAUGAAGAAGGCCUUCGGGUUGUAAAGUACUUUCAGCGGGGAGGAAGGGAGUAAAGUUAAUACCUUUGCUCAUUGACGUUACCCGCAGAAGAAGCACCGGCUAACUCCGU
rnacentral:rRNA from 1 species